AAAUCGUACCCCAAACCGACACAGGUGGUCAGGUAGAGAAUACCAAGGCGCUUGAGAGAACUCGGGUGAAGGAACUAGGCAAAAUGGUGCCGUAACUUCGGGAGAAGGCACGCUGAUAUGUAGGUGAAGCCCCUGCGGGUGGAGCUGAAAUCAGUCGAAGAUACCAGCUGGCUGCAACUGUUUAUUAAAAACACAGCACUGUGCAAACACGAAAGUGGACGUAUACGGUGUGACGCCUGCCCGGUGCCGGAAGGUUAAUUGAUGGGGUUAGCGG
rnacentral:rRNA from 1 species